GUUACCUCCUGGGUUAGGCUCAGGCUGGGCAAUAGGUACCGGCACCUCCGGACUCCAGAUUAUCUAACCUAUUAUUAAUGGUUGCUACAGAUGACACUAGGGAGGCCAUCAUAAUGUACAGUUCUGCCAGGUUGCUUUGUACAUUAAACUCUGAACUAGGGCCAGGCCUUUCGUUGUCCUCGAUAGUGUUGAAUAAACAAAACAGUUCAGCUUUCCUGGCUGCAGUCGGGAAUGGGAUUUUCCUCUUUUUGAGUUCUGUAGUGAUUUUGGGGAUUGUCCAGGAUCUAUAGCUGAAAGCUGGGCUUGCUGGGGUUGCCUUCUCUGCGAGCCUGAUCUGGUCGGG